rnacentral:rRNA from 1 species
CCUACGGGCGGCAGCAGUGAGGAAUAUUGGUCAAUGGGCGUAAGCCUGAACCAGCCAAGUCGCGUGAGGGAUGAAGGCUCUAUGGAUCGUAAACCUCUUUUAUAAGGGAAUAAAGUGCGGGACGUGUGCCGUUUUGUAUGUACCUUAUGAAUAAGGAUCGGCUAACUCCGUGCCAGCAGCCGCGGUAAUACGGAGGAUCCGAGCGUUAUCCGGAUUUAUUGGGUUUAAAGGGUGCGUAGGUGGCCUGUUAAGUCAGUGGUGAAAGUGUGCGGCUCAACCGUAAAAUUGCAGUUGAAACUGGCAGGCUUGAGUAUGGUAGAGGUGGGCGGAAUGCGUGGUGUAGCGGUGAAAUGCUUAGAUAUCACGAAGAACCCCGAUUGCGAAGGCAGUCUACUAAGCUGUGACUGACGCUGAUGCACGAAAGCGUGGGUAUCAAACAGGAUUAGAUACCCGAGUAGUC